rnacentral:ncRNA from 1 species
UGAAAUGCAUUGAUGGACUUAGUAGGAUAAGGAAUUAAGCUUGCAGAGAGCCGGUGGAUGGUGCGAACCGGCAGCCAACCUUAGACCGAAUUACCGUCCGGAGCAGCGGAAGGGAACCUCGGAACGGCAUGUCACAGCCGCCCGUCAGUAGCUUCCGAUCGGGCAGCAGCCCGUUAUCCGAUGAAGUGAAAGCUUCGGUAACGAACCUCGGUGAAGGAAGUGCAGUUUCUUCUAUGAUACCGUUUCGUUUGCCGGGCUUUAAUUAGGGUGGUACCGCGAGCAAAGCCUUCUCGUCCCUUGG